rnacentral:rRNA from 1 species
UACGGAGGAUCCAAGCGUUAUCCGGAUUUAUUGGGCUUAAAGGGUGCGUAGGUGGCUUGUUAAGUCAGGGGUGAAAGACGGUAGCUUAACUAUCGCAGUGCCUUUGAUACUGACGGGCUUGAAUACACUAGAGGUAGGCGGAAUGUGACAAGUAGCGGUGAAAUGCAUAGAUAUGUCACAGAACACCAAUUGCGAAGGCAGCUUACUGUGGUGACAUUGACACUGAGGCACGAAAGCGUGGGGAUCAAACAGG